rnacentral:antisense_RNA from 1 species
GGGCCAGGUUGGGAAAGGCGCCCUCCGCUUGCGCCGGAGGGGGCUGCAGGCGAUCGGCGACUUCGGAUGACGCUCCCUCCUCUUCUUCCUUUUCUUCCAGACGGGCUUUCUUGCUCGGGACCAGUCCAGCGUCCCCGCCGUCGCUCAGGCUGCUGCUGCGUCGUUUGCGGCUGACUUUAGCGGGGCGCGGGGCACAGCAGGCGGAGAGGUAGAGCUCCCGGGCGCUGCGCAUGACCAGCGACAGCUGCAGACUCCGGUGCAGCCGCAGGCCACCGCGCUGCAUGCGAGAGUGAUACAUCUUCCACACCGACAGGGUCAUGAUGCGCUGUGCCUCUUUCUGCACUUCCAUGGCGACUCGACGGCGACAGCGGCGGGGGCUCCCGGAGGGACAGAACAGGAAGCAGGUGCACUCCGGACAACGGGCUCGCUCACGCCUCUCUACACAAACCAACCCACGCAGUGAC